AAAAACUAGGCCAAAUGAAUCUAGCUUCAGUCGGGUCAUAAAACGGGUUGAAAUCAGCGUCCUUCAACCACCUACCUGAUCAACUCCAUACGCUUGCUGCACUCAAAUUCAUCUAAACUAAGCAUGGUUUAAUCAAACCGGAACCUUUCUUCUACCGGUGGUCAAUUCAAUUGCAAAAGUUUACCUACCAGUUUUGCAUCGGUGAUAAAAGAAUGCCUGAAGUUCCGUCGUUGAUCACUUUAUGCAUAGGCGCAAUUAGAGAUGCAAUCCUUGACGAAAAUGGCAAUAUACCUUAUGUUUAUCAACUUCCAUCAGAAUUGUUUGAUCAGAUUUUACCCAAUUUACCUCCACUGGGAUUGCAGAAUCUACAAGAUGCAAUGCCAUCUGGUAGCUCUAGUGAUAGCUGGUUUACUGAUAAUUGCUUAAGACCUUCAAGAAAACGGAAAAGAUAUGACAACUUUGAUAUAACGUGGAGAGCCCGGUAUAAAUCAAGAUGGCCAAUUGUUAAAGAGGACGCAGCAGCAGACACCGAUUGGCAGCAGAUUUACUGGGAAAAACAUCUGCAGAACUGCCUUGAUGCUACAGCAGAGACGAUUUCAAUCACUUUGUUUGAUGGUUCUCUUGGUGACGUCGAAAUUCCAGAUGCUUUGCUAAAAUAUAUUAGUUAUGAGGGGCACAUAAGAAGGUCAAGAAGUUACUCGAACUUGGCUUAUCAUUGUGAACGAUUUGGUUUAUAUGCCCGACGUCUCAGACUCCAAAGUGCUCAUUGUGUUGCAGACAUUGGUCACUUAUUAAGGAAUACUCAAUUGGAAUAUUUGGAGAUACAGUGGCUCAAGUCUAAGGAGCAGGUUGAGGGUCUAUGCAAACUUCUAGAACAAAACAAGGAAACUUUGGCAUCACUUGAAUUUGUUCAUUGCAAGCUUCCGGCAACUCUCGUGACUGCAAUAUGCGAGUCACUGCACGUGAAGGGAUUUGAAACAAAUGUGAUUAGAAGUUUCUCCAUUAAGAGAUCAAGCUUUCUUGACUGCUCGGAUUUUCCUCUACCUCUUGGUUUGGAAUCGUUAUUAAUAGCAACAAGCAGUGGUUUAACUUCGUUGAUACUGUCCGACAAUCACAUGUGGUGGAAAACUGCAAAAUUGGUGUUUGAUACGCUUCUCGAAGCUGAAUCGUGUUUACAAGUUCUUGAUCUCUCAGAAAACAAUAUUGCUGGAUGGCUUUCACAUUUUAAAUGGGGAUCGCCAAGUUGUAUUAAUACAGAUCGACAAAUUACCAAAUCACUAAAAUCGUUACGUGUGCUGAACUUGAGAUGCAAUAAUUUGCAAAAAGAGGAUGCGGAUUGCCUUAAAUAUGCCAUGGUUUAUAUGCCUAAUUUAGAGGUGUUAAAUUUAAGUGAAAACCCUCUUCAGGAUGAAGGGAUUAGGAUUUUGUUUCCGUAUUUUGUUGAGAAAUCUAAAUGUGACACUCCGUUGGCUGAGUUACACUUGGAAAAUUGUGAGCUUUCUUGUCAGGGAGCAAGUCAGCUAUUGGAAAUUCUUGCUGCGUUAAACGUCCCGCUGAAAUCUCUGUUCAUUGGAGAUAAUCACCUUACCAGAACUUUCCUCACAGCAAAUUCGGGCCAUCUCUGGGAAGAUUCUUACGUUCAGGUAUUCAAAUCCUUGAUGUUAAGGGAAUCGGGUUGGGUUUAGCUGGAUUUUCAGAUGCACAAAAGGAAAUUAGUCAAGACUUGAGCAUCGUGCGCAUCAACAUAAGUGGUAAUGCUGGUGGAGUCAGAAGUGCAGAAUUUUUGUCAAAGGUGAUUUCACAGGCGCCAAAACUUAUUUCAGUCGACGCAAGCAGUAACUGGAUCCCUGUUGAAUCACUGCCUGCUAUAUGCGCGCUUCUGAAGGCUGGUAAAGGACAACUCGAGCAUUUUAAUGUGAGGCAGAAUCCAUUGUGCAACAAACCCGACAUUGCUUCCGUGGUGGCUGAAUUUCAAGUGAAUGGAAAACCAAAUAUCUUACUUUCAUCACCAGUUGCUACCCUUUAUGAUAAUGACCCAUAGCUGAUAGAAAAGGCAAGAUAUAAGUAAAUAUGAUUGAUUUGUUGUAGGAUUAAAUAAGGUAAUCAUUUGGUAUUAUUGGAGAAAAAGACAUGACAAAUCAUCCUCCUAAAAAGGAUGGGUUGGUGGGUUGGCUUUUAUCAUGAAGUUAUUAUAUCCUUCAUUUCUGUCUA